UACAGAGACCUCAAGCGUUAUCCGGAAUCAUUGGGCGUAAAGCGUGCCGAUAGGUUGUUUUGAAAGUUUUGGGUAAAAGCCAGAAGCUCAACUUCUGCGUUUGCUCAAAAUACUGCAAGACUAGAGGGGCAAAGAGGUCCUUGGAACGAACGGUGUAGUAGUGAAAUGCGUUGAUAUCGUUCGGAACACCGAAAGCGAAGGCAGAGGACUGGGUGCCACCUGACACUGCUAGGACGAAAGCGUGGGGAGCGAAUGGG
rnacentral:rRNA from 1 species